rnacentral:rRNA from 1 species
CGCUGCUCAGUAACACGUCAAUAAUCUGCCCUUAGGUCAGGGAUAAUCUCGGGAAACUGAGGAUAAAACCUGAUAGGAAAUUUGUUCUGGAAUGAUAUUUUUCUGAAAAGCAAUGCCUAAGGAUGAGUUGGCGGCCGAUUAGGCUGUUGGCGGGGUAACGGCCCACCAAACCAACGAUCGGUACGGGCCCUGAGAGGGGUAGCCCGGAGAGGGACACUGAGGAACUGGUCCCAGCCCUACGGGGUGCAGCAGGCGCGAAACCUUUACAAUGCACGAAAGUGUGAUAAGGGAAUCUCAAGUGCUUAUACAUUGUAUAGGCUUUUUUCAAGGGUAAGUACCUUGGAGAAUAAGUGGUGGGAAAGACUGGUGCCAGCCGCCGCGGUAACACCAGCGCCACAAGUGGGGCUCGCUUUUAUUGGGUCUAAAGCGUUCGUAGCCGGCUUUGUAAAUUCUUUGUGAAAUCGAGCAACUAAAUUGUUCGGCAUGCAGGGAAGACUGCAAAGCUAGGAACCGGAAGGGGGCAGGAGUAUUUUUGGGGGAACGGUAAAAUGUUAUAAUCCCAAGAAGACUACCUGUGGCGAAGGCGCCUGUCCAGUACGGAUUCGACGGUGAGGGACGAAAGCCAGGGGAGCGAACCGGAUUAGAUACCCGAGUAGUCCUGGCCGUAAACGUUGCAUGCUAGGUGUUGCACAUUCUUCGAGGAUGUGCAGUGUCGGAGCGAAGGCGUUAAGCAUGCCACCUGGGAAGUAUAGUCGCAAGACCGAAACUUAAAGGAAUUGGCGGGGGAG